rnacentral:rRNA from 1 species
UACGUAGGGGGCGAGCGUUGUCCGGAGUUACUGGGCGUAAAGGGCACGCAGGCGGUCGUGUAAGUUUGGGGUUACAGCUCCCGGCUCACCUGGGAGAGCGCCUCGAAGACUGCAAGACUUGAGGGCCAGAGAGGGACACAGAAUUCCGGGUGUAGUGGUGAAAUGCGUAGAUAUCCGGAGGAAUACCAAAGGCGAAGGCAGUGUCCUGGGUGGUUUCUGACGCUGAGGUGCGAAAGCUAGGGGAGCGAACGGG